GAUGAACGCUAGCGGCAGGCUUAAUACAUGCAAGUCGAGGGGCAGCAGGUCUGUAGCAAUACAGAUGCUGGCGACCGGCAAACGGGUGCGUAACACGUACGCAACCUUCCCGUUACUGGGGAAUAGCCCAGGGAAACUUGGAUUAAUACCCCAUAUUAUAUUGGUUGGGCAUCCGACUGAUAUUAAAGUUUUAACGGUAACGGAUGGGCGUGCGGUUGAUUAGGUAGUUGGCGGGGUAACGGCCCACCAAGCCUACGAUCAAUAGCUGAUGUGAGAGCAUGAUCAGCCACACGGGCACUGAGACACGGGCCCGACUCCUACGGGAGGCAGCAGUAAGGAAUAUUGGGCAAUGGACGCAAGUCUGACCCAGCCAUGCCGCGUGAAGGAUGAAGGUCCUCUGGAUUGUAAACUUCUUUUAUCUGGGGCGAAAAUCGGGUAUUCUUAUCCGCUUGACAGUACCAGAGGAAUAGCACCGGCUAACUCCGUGCAGCCGCCGCGGUAAUAC
rnacentral:rRNA from 1 species